CAGAGGUCCUUUGUGUCCAGUGUGUCAACUGUAAUGUAUUUUUUUUUUUAUGACAUGAUGACAUAGAACAUUUCCAGAGUUUUAUGCUUGCCAGAAAACUGCUUGGAUGGGGACAAGGGAUAUCUUCCCUUGCUCUAGCACACCUUCAGAAGUGAACCUUUCUCACUCUCCAUGGUAACCCUGAGACAUGUUUCUUUCACACAAAUUCAGUCAACAUAUAACAAAGUAGAACUUCAUGGACUAAGUUUCUAGUCAGAGCUAUUCCUCACCCCAUCCAACCCCACACGCCUAUUUUUAUGGACUCACAUGAGCAAAACCAUUCACCUUUGUUUAAGCACUUAGCUUUCCAUUUUCUUUGUGUUUGCUGGUUCCUGGUUUGUAAACACAGAACAGAUAAUGCUUGAGACACAGCACAGAGAUUUUGCAAGUUUCGGUUAUGAUUGCACAAGAAAUAGAAUUAGGUAAAAGAAAAAUUACUGUUUGCAUUUUCCAGAUUUGGAAAUUUUCCUUUUCAUCACUGUUUGCUAGGGAAUUUGGGGCCUUUGGAGUGUUCAGGAGCCUUCACUGACACAGCUUUGCCUCCUGAAUCUCUUCUUUGAAAACAGCUAGCAAGCCUGGAAGCACCCCUCAGCUGCAACAUGAGCGCAUCUUCUGGGGGUCAUCAGAACAUCACUCAGCCCACGGCUCCGAGCCAUGGUGGCAGUAGAUCACUGCCUCUGCUCACUGCAGGUCUGAGCCUGCUCUCCCUAGCUGCCUCAACCCAGUUCCACUGGUAGGCAAAACCAACAUAUUUGGAAGGAGACACGGCAGCCAGCACAUCUUGGAGACCCAGUGACAGCAGAUGCAAUUGUUUCCCAAGAGCUCUGCACCUUACUAUAAUGAUAAUGAUUUCUCCAUAGAGGUGAACUUCUAUUACAAAGAUCAGUCUAUUAGAGCAGUAAAAACAAUGAACUUCCUUUGUCUUGUCUUGCUCCUUUCAUUAAAAUCUGUGUGAUUUGGCUACUGUUUUCUUUGAUUGACACCCUGCAGCCUCAUUAGGAUGAUCUGUUAAUUAGUAAAGAUGCCUUUUCGCACAUUGCUGCUGCCUCUUUUUCUGUUGAGUGCUGGCUAUUUUCCUUUUCAUUACUGUGUUCUUGGUCCAUGGCAGAAAAAGUCCUUGUGACAGAGUCAGUACAUGACAAAGGUAUUUUUGAGGCAGUAAUAUAAAGACAGGUAUUUCAACUACUAGUUUCUCUAUUCUUUCAUCUCCCUUCUCUAUUCUUUCAUCUCCCCAACACUAUUAAUAUGCAAUAAGCACUUGGUGAUGAUUUCAGUUCUACAUUACCGGAAGUAAAUGAAGCUGAACCAUGUUAUAUGAAGAAUUACAACUUCCUUGCUCUUACUACAGCACAAACUUCCACAAGAAGUUGCAGAACUGUUAGAGCCAAUGCCUUUGAUUACACAAGUGAAAAUGUAAGGGAACAGAUGGCCUAAUUCCUUGUAGGUGAAAAAUGGUGGACCUUCAUCCUAAAUCCACAUUGGUCUGAUUGGCUAACAGACUGCUGUUUGAAGACUUGCAUUUGUUCCUCUCGCCUGAUCUUCUCUUUUUUCUUGUGUGAGUAAAAAAAGAUUUGCUUACUGGCAUAUCCGGAGCUCUUGAGUUUUAUUCUGCUUUUUACAUAAUAAGUUCUUUGUCCUGAAAGCAAAGAAAUGUGAUGACUAUAGCUUUUGUUCCAAGAUCUGGGCUGAGUUUUGGGCCAUUAAGACUCUUUCCAAUUGUAAGAUGUCACUCCCUCAGGCUUUCUAUGUAAUGGGUGAUAAAGGAGUUGGAAAGCAAAUUUAUUGCCUCUCUUUCUUAAAGGCCUUCUUUUUUCAUCCUUGACGGUGGUAACGAGACCUUUACGGCUGAUGCUAUUGGGUUUCUCCUGAGUGUCUUAUUCUUCAGUGUCAUUAACAAGAUAAGUUAUCCUUUCUAAAAUCUCCUCCUCCUGUUCACUUUCAAGGUCAUGUUUUUGCAUACUUCAAUGUUAAUGUGCAAGAAGUUCCCACCAAGCAUAUGGAAACUCUACAGAUUGUUCUGGAUUAGGACUGCAUUUAUUUGUCAUGGAUCUUGAGGUAUUUUUUCUGGGGGUAUCAGACAUUACAGACAGCCACAAUUUUCCAGUGAGCCUGUUAAGAACUGGAGCUGCUUUUAUGUCAUGUGAUAUUCCUCUUCAUCAUUUUUCCCAGACCUCUGCUUCUCUGCAGUUUGGAAGCCCAUCAUUGUGCACAAUAUUCACAUUCCUAGAGUGGAUUAUUUCUGAUGAUUUCAUAGUUUCAGUGGCUGAAACCUCUCUGCACAGGGUGCAGCAAUUUCUAUUUGCAGACAGUCUUUAUUCUGCUUAGUUAACAAUGAUACAGCAAAUUUCUAAUUCCCUACCAACAGUGAAUUUAAAAGAUCACAGUCUUUAAAAGACUGAAAAAAAAAAACCACUUUCUCCAAAUUCUAAGGAGUUUUCUAUCUACCUAUGGCUUUUGGGAGCAUAGUGCUCCUCCCAGUGAGGGGCACAUACUCAGGGAAAUACCAUCCAUGCAGUCUAGCAAUGAAGAAUGAUCAUUAGAGAUGAAAAGGGCACAGCUACAUUGUAGAAAGAUUUAAACUUUACUGAGUCUAGGAUGUAAACAGUACAGUAAACAGAUCUGCCACUCUAUUUGCAGAAGAAUGAACUCUGCUCUGAUUAACAAAAAUAUAAAGGUCAGUAGUCUUCAUGUCUCAUGUGGACACAGACUGAAUGUAGCUGGAUCAGGUAUUGUCCCCUAUGGGACAGAAUCUGCACAACUGAGUGCACUGUGAGGAUUCCAGCCUCAUUCUGAAACAUCCAGAGCUGGGGAUGGUUGGAGACAAAGGCUACUACUUUGUAAAAACCUGUCAAGUGCCAACACUAAUUAAUCCCAAUGUAUUCUGGGGACAGGAAUCCUCUCUUCGUUGGACACAUCUAGUCUCCUUGCACAUAGGCCAGGGCCCACUGCCAGUCCUGCAAUACAAAUGUUUCUUCACAAUCAUAAAACCAUGGGAUUGGAAACAAGUCCUUGAGAACAAGAGUGGCAGGAGGAUUCUCAUCUCUACUCAUACUGCAGAAGGCAGACUCAGACAAAACUGCUGCCUUGCCCUCUCCCUGGCUGUUCCUCCUUGGCAGUGUUGAACAUGGAACAGAGGCAGAGUGGCCAGCAGGCUGAAGCAGAUACUACGCUCCUGAUGCUCUGUUUGCUUCUCUUCACUGUAAGAUGAGUGCUCAGUCAGCACUCUGACACUCAGAAAUACGUGAUAUAGCUAAAAAGAAUACAGAAAUACCCUAACCAAACACAAUUCCCUUUUCCCUCAAUCUUGAUUCAGCUAGAUGAGAAUGCUAAGCUUCUGAGACACAGAAGUAAGUCUCUAGUGCCUCAUCACUUGCUCUUCUUACAGGACAUCUUGUUCUAUGCACUUCAUAAAAUCAUUUUAAAAAGUCAUUUUUUAUUAACUAGAGCGACAUAACUAGAGCUUCUUGGUCACUGCGUUUAUGCAGACACCGGCAUAUUUCAUAGCCCUGUUUCUAAAAUGCCACAUUUCUGAAGCUACUGCAUCGUAGAGAGCUCGUGAUAGAUAUUUUUCUUGUAACGUGUCAUUACUGUAAUUGUGGUUGCUUUGCUUUCAGAAGGACUAAAGCAGCGUAAUUCAAAUAGAUGGAAAUACACAGACUGCGAUUUUCAAAGUGACCUAGGGGAGUUAAGCAAUUCUUUCUCAGUGUAGACUGCAUGCUUUCCCCACUUCUUCUUUAGGCACUUCUGAAUAUUACUAAGAAUAUGCUAUAGCAGCAAUGCUUAAAAGGAUUUUCAAACCAGAAAGCUCAUCUGCUAUUCAGAAUGCUAGGAGAACACAUAAGCAAAGAGAAAACAGGAAGGUAUUUCAUGUUUUGAGAUUAUCCUAAAUCAGGCUCAAUGGCAAUGACAAAGCAAACACAGAAGCUCGGCUUUGAUUUAUCAUUAGCAUGCAAAAUAGAAGAAAUGAACAGAUAAGCUACCCUGUGAGCAGUGAUAAAGGGCAUUGCUAAACCCUUGCAAAUUUUGUUUAACGUGUUAUCUUUGAAAAUCCUUCUUUAUGAACUUGAAUCUACAUUGUCUUCUCUCAUUAUAUUUUUCCGCAUGUGAUUGAGCAGCCUCCAACCUCAAGCUCAUCUCUCUCCUGUCACCCCCCACCCCCACGCUCAUUCUGCUGGAACAUAAAAUGAACAGAGCUUCAUUUGUUCACCCGUGCCAGCACCAGCAGUAAUGUCAGCGCAGCAGAAGCAGCAGCCCUGCCUCCACAGCUCUGGGUGAGGGGACAUCUCGUGUUUCCGGGAACCACGCAUCCUAAUUAACUGCUGUUCCUCCAGGAGAACAGCUAGUGGUUUUCUAUGGCUCUCCUGUAAGCAAUGGUUCCUUUUGAAAAAAAGAAGAGGCGUUAAAAAAAACAGUAUUUUAGAACUGCUGCAUAUUCAGUUAGAUUUAAAAAAAUAUGCCGUAAGAAAAAGAAAAGCCUUCAAAAUUAGGGCUUAAAAUGAACUGGCAGGUUGUUUUAGGUAAUCACUACAACAGCACAAGCUGAAGUCCGAGCAUCUGAUUUCUUGAAACUCCACUAAAGGACUUUCUUCUUUUAUAUAUAUAUGGAUCAUAUAGUGGAGAUAUAUAUAUAUAUAUAAUAAUAGUUGUCUGUACCAAGUUCUUCUUUCUCUCUUCCAAGAGAGCAGGCUUCAGUUUUCUGCUGUGCUCCUGGGACACAUGCAACAGAAUGGCUUUCAUUAACUCAAUCUUAAAACCAUGUAGUUCAGUUUGCCUGUCUCUGAUCUGUCUAGAGCCCUUAUUCUUCAGGUAUCCUGAAGCCUUCCUCAUUUCCAACAUAAAAGUACUCCCCGUCUGUUUACACUCAAAUGUUGCUACUCAGCCUGUUCUUGUUUGUGGGUAGGCAAACACUUUACCUUAUCUACCUACAAAGAACAACCUUAUUCAUGCUCUGAUCAUCUUUGCUAGGAUACAGAAAUCAAGUUCUUUCAGCUUCUCCUUUCCAGAUAAGAUAAUAAGAAAUAGAGAAACUAAUUGUUGGAGGGUUUACUAAUUGUUGGAGGGUUUUGUUUUGCUGGUUUUUUUUUAUUUUUAUGUUUUGAACAAGCUUCAGUUGACCUGCUUCAAGUAUGUCUAGCCAGAACUCUGCAAAGUACCUCAGAUGAAAUCUCAGUUGAGGCAUAUAUUAAUAUUUUUUUUUAUCUCUGCUGGGAGGCAGGCCAUCAGAUAAACCCUCCAAGCUUUCCAAUUUUCUCCCCUUUAUGUCAUCCUCAUGUAUUUCAUAUACUUCUUUCUUUUUCCAAGAGAACAGAAGCCCUUUGUGGUAGUAUUACAAACAGUUUGCAGUGCCUCGGCAGAGAAACACCCAUUCAUUUUCCUUAGGAGAUGAACCUACUUCGGUAAACAUAGGAAUCUACAAUCUGAACUCUUGGGAGUGCUAGGCACACCAAAAAAUCUAUCUCCUGAAGCUGCUAUUUCGGUAACUUUUUCAUUUGGAGUAUUUACUCCUAGUUGAUUAUUUUGGUUCUUUCCUGCAUGCUAGUCAGUUUGUUGCUUCUUUACUGUCCUCAGCUCUUCUGCUUUACUUUUUCUUCACUAUAAAACUAGAAAUGUCAUCCGUUUCUGUAAAGUGGGGAGAUUUUCACAGUCUUAAGAUCAAUGUUGGCUCAGGACAAGUUUAAUUUAGAACAGGUAAUGGGUCUGACUCACACUGUGCUGUUCAUGUCAUCCAUCUCUGAUUUGGAGCAAGCUUACUAAUUUACUUAUGACCUGAAAAUGUCUGAAAUCAAAUUAUAUAUAGCAUUUUAAAAAUAUUUAUAAUGUUAAGAAUGGUUAUAAACAUCACCAAAGUCCCUCGAGAUGAAAUUUCACAGUACAAUUCACAAUGGAUACGCCUCUUUCUGAAACCUACCCUGAAAACCUGCUUCACAACAUCUGGAAUGCUUCACACAAUAUAUUCAUGACAUUUACAAAUGACAGAGUUUGACAUUCUUCUCUCAGGCUUCCAAAAAGGAUUGCUUUUAAAAGAAUACAACAAAGAGCAGAAUGACUCCAAAAGAGGCUUUGGUGAGAUUAGAUUCCCUCAGCACUUCAACAUCUUUAUCUCUGACCUUGCAGGUAAGAAAACAUCAUCGGUCAGCUACAGCAGGAUGAGCAGUCAUGUAAGGAAUGCAGGCAAUGAUAUUCUCGUCUGUGAUCCAGAAAUUGGCUUUAAGACUCAGUGAGAGAAUAAUCACUCUGACCUUUGUAUGCAGCAUCUUAAAAAAACAGUGAGGAGAGCAGGCAUUUACCAUGUGCCACCAGAUGCUAGUAUGCAGAGAGAAAAAUUUCACUGCUUCCCCUACACAGCAUCGGGCUGAGCAGGAAUCUAAAACAAGCAAGUGGGGUGAGGACAAGAGGGAGCCACAGGUCUCUGGCAGUGGCAGAGCAGUCACAACCACAUCUUGCCAGUACUGCAACAUGCCACCUAGGAGAGAAAGCCUCUGAAUAACACGGAUCCAGAGCUGAACCAGGGACAGUGGGAUGAGGAAGGAGGAAUAAAGUUAGUCAGACAGCAGGUUUCCUGGCACCACAGCUGUAUGUUUGCAGGAGCAAGAAGAGGCAAGCAUGGACUGUUUGCUACAUAAAGUCCUGUAGCUUUGCAAAGCACACAUUCUUAACUUGAAGCUUUGCUGCGUCAUAUGAGAUAAACACCAGUACAUGUGCUUAACUUGGGCCUAAAAUCAAAGCACAAGGGUAUCAAAAAGAUGUCAACUUAAGCAUUGCUCUUGUGGAGCUGGGCCUCUCAUUUAUGAGGGCUUAGUAAUGGGAACCUUGCUGUCAUUACCACAGUGGUGGUGUGCCUGCAAAUGCUAAGGGAACAUGCUCUGAGGGAAGCUCUUGGAAAAGGCACAGCAAAGGAAAAUUAGAUUUAUGAGAGGACAGCAGGUUAGCAGGUCCCCGAAGAUUACAGAUGGUUCUGGAGACUAGGGAUUGAGCCAAUGAGGCUACAGAAAGGAGCAGUGGCAGAGGAGUGGCCACACUGAGGAGCUCAGGAGCUGUCCAGUGUCAGAGCCAGCACAGCACAGGACCUGUCGGUGGGCUCAGGCCAUGGCUAAAGGCAGACGAUGUGACACACAGCCACUUUUACAUAAACAUGUGCAAGCAAAUAAAGAGGCUAAAAUGUGUGGUAAAGGCUUUAACUGAUGAUGGUAGGUCCUCUUGGGUUCAACUUGACAGGCUGCAGAUGGCUGCUUGUGCUUCAUCAGUGCAAUACCAUGCAAGGAUUCAGUGGAAGAGAAAAAAGGAUUGAGUGAUAUGCAGGGCUCCUUAUUUUUAUAUCCUGUUUCUCUUUCUCAGUGGGAUGUUUUCUUGCUUUCACAAAGGAAUCAUGAAGCAAAGGGACAGGUACAGAAGACUUACAGAAUCUUAUCUAGCCAAAUCAGAAAGACAUGUAGAGGUAUUUGAUGCUAAAUGUCACAAGACAGAGGCACUACUCCUUACAGAGAGCAAAUGAGAGAUGCUCAGGCUUGGAACUGUCUUUGAAACAAACUCCUUGAAGUUGCACAAAUAACCUCUUGCAAAAUGGCUACUAAUCUUCCUUUGUAAUCAUUCCAAGCUGUUUGUGUAUCACUCCCCCCUAUCCUGUGUCCACAGCAAAGUGAAACAGUGUUUAGAGUCCCUAAUGCUAUAAGCCUGUUAAGAGUAAAAAAAAACCUUAAAACACUCUUUAUUCUUCCAGCUGUCGACAUACGCGGGCAAUUUGCUUAUUUCUUGCCAUACAGCUCAUAGUCAGAGUUCUCAAGAGACAAGGCAAACUCUUCUAGAUAUCACUCUAUUGAUACACAACGGUUUCUUUUGGGGUGCAGCUACUAUUACUACCUGCGCUUGACAAAAAAGGUCAGGGAUAUUAGCGAGUCAUGAUUUUCCCUCCAUGUAUUUCUACAGUUCAGGGCAGAUUAUCCUUUAUCACCAGUUGGACUUGUAUUGCUUAACAUUCUUCUCUGUAGUGGUCAUAGAGAAGCCAACUGCUUUCUUGUUAAGCUGAGUUUAUACUGGCAAGCCUGCUUUGUCUACUUUAGACUUACAGUGGAAUGAAGGAGGAAAAAAUGUCUGUUAUUCAGCAAGAUAUCAGUGACGAAAGUAUGGCCCCACAGCCACCUGGUAUGUAAGUAUCUCAAUUUUUCUUUUGGGGUGAAAAGCUCUCAUAACUUGAGACAGGCAUUUGUUGGACACUUCUAGGAUUUGCUGACACUGCUGAAGCAAAAGUUGCCAGGCCUUUUCCUUUCCUGGAGAUUCCUUCUUAACCUAGACCUUUAUUUUGCCACUUGCCCCAUUUCCACUUUUAAAUCAGUGGAUAUACUCAAUACGGAAGACCCCACAUUUGCAAACUACCACAAGCCUGAGUGAAACCUUGGAGCUCACGUCACAAAUGUGCAGCUUAACAUACAUUCUCUUCACUAAGUCCUGAGGCAAAGAUUGUGCCUUCGCUAGCUAUGAUGUCUUCAGUGAUACAAUUGCUCACAAGGUGGCUGGAGAUUUCAGGUGACAAAAAAAAAGGACACUGUGAUUUGGAAAAGCUAGCCCACAGCUGCGCAGGUCAUUUCCGGACAGUGAUUCAAAGCUCACCAAUAGGUCAACACUAGAAUAAGAAAGUGUCAAGCAGGCUCCUUGCUGUGUUUUCUCGUAAAUUUAUUAAAGAAAGAAAUGCUGGCCUCUGAACAGUAUCAACAGAAAAAAAACCAAAACACUGCUUAUAUCAAAUCCAGAAGGCAUUGCUGAAGAAAGCUCUUCCAAAGAUGAUUACAGUGCUGGAGCAUGUCCUAACCAGCAGACCGUUGACUGUAUCUCAGAAAGCUCAUAUAAGAACAAGCCGGUGAAUGCUGAAAGGUCGUCAUGCUUUCAUGCUUUGAAAUAAAAGGCUCUGAAGGAAAAUGACUGCCCACAAGUAGACGAAGAAUAGUGGUGCAGUGACCAGGAGUGCUUCAAGGUUGUAUUUCAAGAAGAUGAGAUCCAUGUAGAAAACCAAUUAUUCAAAAAUAAAGCCACAUUUGCACAUGCAACCACCACAGUAGCAUGUAACCAGAGGGGUCUCAAUCUACAAGGGGCAGUCACACACACAUGAAAAUACACAGACAGUUCCACACACAGCUUUUGUCCUUUCUGUAACCACCUUGCCUCACAUUUAAGUGUAAUCAGCACAGUACUUAGCACCACUCAGUGAACAAUUUUUCUGUAAAUGGAUUCUCUUCUUGUGCUCACAAAUAAGACAUUAUGUACAUGUUUAUAUGCAUUUAUCUUUUGUAUUAGAGAAGCAAUUGAGAAAUGUAUUUACCUGGGACAAACAGAAAGCUUUUUGUGGAUCUUAAAAAUGUUUUAUGGUUUGAACUUCCUUUCUCUUCUAAAGCAAAUGCUUCAGACUAUACAAUUGUCAUGACUAAACAUAAACAUGGGGGAAGCUGAUUAUGCUGCC